ensembl:lncRNA
GUCUAUGGUUACUAAGGAUACAGGUCUAUGGUUAGGAAGGAUACAGGUCUAUGGUUACUAAGGAUACAGGUAUAUGGUUACUAAGGAUACAGGUCUAUGGUUACUAAGGAUACAGGUCUAUGGUUAAUAAGGAUACAGGUCUAUGGUUAAUAAGGAUACAGGUCUAUGGCUAAUAAGGAUACAGGUCUAUGGUUACUAAGGAUACAGGUCUAUGGUUACUAAGGAUACAGGUCUAUGGUUAAUAAGGAUACAGGUAUAUGGUUACUAAGGAUACAGGUCUAUGGUUAAUAAGGAUACAGGUCUAUGGUUACUAAGGAUACAGGUCUAUGGCUAAUAAGGAUAUAGAUCUAUGGCUAAUAAGGAUACAGGUCUAUGGUUACUAAGGAUACAGGUCUAUGGUUACUAAGGAUACAGGCCUAUGGUUAAUAAGGAUACAGGUCUAUGGUUACUAAGGAUACAGGUCUAUGGUUACUAAGGAUACAGGCCUAUGGUUAAUAAGGAUACAGGUCUAUGGUUACUAAGGAUACAGGUCUAUGGUUACUAAGGAUACAGGUUGUCCUUUAUUGUUAUGAUCCUUGUCCUGAAGGCAGAACUGAGGGAUUUCCUCCUUGUCUAGGCCAGCUGCAAAGUCAACAUUGACUAUAUUGUAAAAAUGUAUACAAAUUAGGAUUUAAGAUUAGGGUUAAGGUUAGGACAAGGGUG